GAUGAACGCUGACAGAAUGCUUAACACAUGCAAGUCAACUUGAAUUUGGGUUUUUAACUUAGGUUUGGGUGGCGGACGGGUGAGUAACGCGUAAAGAACUUGCCUCACAGCUAGGGACAACAUUUGGAAACGAAUGCUAAUACCUAAUAUUAUGAUAAUAGGGCAUCCUAUAAUUAUGAAAGCUAUAAGCGCUGUGAGAGAGCUUUGCGUCCCAUUAGCUAGUUGGAGAGGUAACGGCUCACCAAGGCGAUGAUGGGUAGCCGGCCUGAGAGGGUGAUCGGCCACGAGGGGACUGAGACACGGCCCUUACUCCUACGGGAGGCAACAGUGGGGAAUAUUGGACAAUGGACCGAGAGUCUGAUCCAGCAAUUCUGUGUGCACGAUGAAGUUUUUCGGAAUGUAAAGUGCUUUCAGUUGGGAAGAAACAAAUGACGGUACCAACAGAAGAAGUGACGGCUAAAUACGUG
rnacentral:rRNA from 1 species